ensembl:lncRNA
AGCCCUCUGGCUAGAAAUCUGAGGUAGCCAGAAGGAUCCCAUGUGCAAUAUGGGGAGUGGGUUAACCUUCCAUGUCCUUGCUUCCAAAGACUGUUGAUAUGCGAAUUUUAACAACAUUUUUUCAAUUAAAAGAUCUGACCAAUGAAGCUUUUUUUUUUUUUACUUAAGCAAAUAUAUUAGACUUUAGUAUAUUACAUUUUUCCUGAUUUAUCCAAACACUUUGUAUUCCAAGUUGAAUAAAACAAGUAUCUGCUUUUUUAUUUAACCCUUUUAUUUAAUUUUGAACUCGACUGUCUUAUGAAAAUAUUAAACACAACAAUUCUGGCCACAAGACAAACACCACAAGACAGGACAUAGAACACAAAAAUAAUUCCUAUUGUACCAGUAAAUGCAUAGUACGUUGAAUGCUGUUCAGCUGGCAUCCGUUUUCUCUGAUGAUUUGAAAGACAUUAAUUACUUUAAAUAUUUCCUUUAUAUACACAUACUCUUGUUGAUUUUAGGCAAAACAGAGGAAUUACCCCAUAUUUCCUUGUAUUUGUUUUAUAGGCAGCCCAGGUUUCAGUGGCUUCUACCUUAUUAGUAAGAUAAUUUGCAUCAAUACAAAUGCUUUCUGGCUUGCUUCCAGAUCCAAAGCUAUCCACAGCUUAAAGAUUCUUACUUUAAAAAAGGACACAAUUAACUUUCCCAGACUUUUGAUUGCCUUUUACUUCUGACUCCUGCUUUCAAACGCACAGUGUUCUGAAAAAGACAACACAACCUAUAUUGGUAGGUUUGCAUUUCUUUUACCUCUGCUACAAUAUACACUGCACAUGUUCUGGGGAAAAUGCACAUCCUUUCCACAAUUCAAUUUCCACAACGCUAGCCACAUCAAUUUCUACACAAGGUGUAACUGUUUCUUUUAUGCUUACAAAAUCUCCAUGCACCCACAGCAAAGCGUCAGCUCAACCACACAGAGCCAGGGGCACUGUCCUUCUCUCUCUUUACCAGAUCUUUUAUCUGCUAUUUUGUUACCCAAAAACAAAUUUAAAUCUUGUAGCAUUAAGUCACUUUAAGGAUUAAAUGCUAAAUACCUUAAACAACACUAGUUUCCUGUGCCUGGCAAAAGUAUUCUCGGUUUUGCAACUUUAAACAAUACCAAUUCAUCUUAAACUUAUAAAAUACAGAUUGUACACAGCAGGAGUGUUCUUCAGCAAAUUAGACUAACGUAUUCAUAGUCGAAGAAUUCCACUUAAAUAACUUCUUGCCUGGAUUACUUACAGAAAUUCUUACCAAGUUUCACUGCUUAAUUCCCUCUAGCAACUAUAGAGUUAACUUCUUACUUUUGGGAGGGCUGUUCUUUUACACCCUGGGGUCUCCUGCGACUUCUCUUUCAGAGAUUCCAGUCCAGGCCGGCUGCCUGGGGCUUCUUCAGCGUCCCCAAACCACGCCGGCUCCAGGGUCUCAAAGGCAGAUUGUUGGAUCUCACUGGAUAGUUAAGCUUUGCAAAUGUAAUCUCAGUACUGUAACUUGUAUUGCCUUUGGUUUGCCUCUGUCUAUAUUUUUCCACAGCCAGCUGGGGCCGAAAGCAGUUUUUCUUUUGGUUUAUAGUUAUACCAUACAAAUAAAUAAUCCAUUUGUCCCGGUCUAAGAUCA